GCCAGCGUGUUGGAAUUGGUAGACAAAGUGGAUUCAAAAUCCACCGCUUUCGGGCGUGGCGGUUCGAGUCCGCCCGCUGGUACCA
rnacentral:tRNA from 1 species